AAUAGGCCAUAAUUGGCCUUGCCAAACAUAUGGAGUGUGUGUACAACGUGGGCAAGGGUGCAUGAAGUAUUACAUGGGACUAGGGGUUGAGCUAGGGCCCACUUGUACACAUGAGAGAGGGGGGAGGAGUUCAGUUCACUCACAUGAUCCACAAGUUCAUAUUGGAAAAGAAACCUCACAUGAAAACCUUGGUGCUCGCCUCACAUGAAAACCUUGGCCCGAGCACCCUUCUCCGUUGCACCGGAAAUCGCCUCCGGUGGCGGCGGAGGGCCAAACCCUAUAAUACAUACAUCAAUGUCUCCAUUUCAACAAUCUCUAAUAGAAUCCACCAUCAAUUCUUCUUAAUUCAUCACCAGUUGUCCAAAUCGAAGCACUUUACAUAUGAACCCUAAAUCCUGAAUUUCAAAAUUAUAUCCUAAAACAAUGGAAUCAAAGCCCAAUCUGUUGAGGCUUUGAUUUCUCCGCACCCUGAACUACAUGGAGGUAACCAAAUCACAUCAAAACAAGCAGAAAUCGACCUUACCUCUGAAGAUGAGGAUGAAGGCCGGUACGAAACAAUGCCUAAGGAUGAAGAUGAAGAUGCUCAGAAUGCUUAGUGGCAUGAGGAUUGAGUAAAGGCUAUCCAUUUGAAGAAAGUUGGAUCAUGGGCAACAUCAAAGAACAAAAAUAAUGAAAGAUUUGAAGACUCAAACAAAGGAAGGGAUGGCUUGUGGGAGAAGCAUGGCAAGAGUUAGGGUUAGGAUAAUUAGACUUAGUCAAUUGACUUUGGUCAACUGGUUGACCAAAAAGUCAACAAUUGACCAAUAGUCAACUUAGGUAAAAAAUGUAAUUUUUUGUAUAGGUGUUGAUUUGUAAUGUAAUGCUAUGUAAUAUUUGGAAAUGUAAACUUUGGAUGACCUUGUAAUGAAAGAGGAUCCUCUUUGAAAGUAAAA